rnacentral:rRNA from 1 species
UACGGGGGGGGCAAGCGUUGUUCGGAAUUACUGGGCGUAAAGGGCGCGUAGGCGGUUUGCUAAGUUGAAUGUGAAAACUCUGGGCUUAACCCAGAGCCUGCAUUCAAUACUGGCAGGCUAGAGUUCUAGAGAGGGUCGUGGAAUUCCCGGUGUAGCGGUGAAAUGCGUAGAGAUCGGGAGGAACACCAGAAGCGAAGGCGACGACCUGGAUAGAUACUGACACUCAACUGCGAAAGCGUGGGGAGCAAACAGG